rnacentral:rRNA from 1 species
AUUGAACGCUGGCGGCAGGCCUAACACAUGCAAGUCGAACGAGUGGCGGACGGGUGAGUAAUGUCUGGGAACCUGCCUGAUGGAGGGGGAUAACUGCUGGAAACGGUAGCUAAUACCGCAUACCAUCAGAUGUGCCCAGAUGGGAUUAGCUAGUUGGUGGGGUAACGGCUCACCAAGGCGACGAUCCCUAGCUGGGCGGAGAGGAUGACCAGCUACACUGGAACUGAGACACGGUCCAGACCCCUACGGUAGGCAGCAGUGGAGAAUAGUGAACAAGGGGCGCAGGGCUGAUGCAGCCAUGCCGCGUGUAGGAAGAAGGAAUUCGGGUUGUAGAGUAAUGUUAGCGGGGAGGCGUUACCCGCAGAAUAAGCACCGGCUAACUCCGUGCCAGCAGCCGCGGUAAUAC